CCGGGCCGCGCCUGCUCUCCUCUUCCCUUCCUCGUGGGGGCAAAAGAGGGUCAGCAGCAAGCGGAGCAAAGGCUCGUGUCUCUCGCCUGCGGAAAGAGAGGGCCGAUAGAGGCACACGCGGCCGCCGGCGAUGCUUUCGGCCCGGAGCCUGCGGAAGGCGUCCGUCCCGCCGUCACUUCUCUCCGACCCCUCGCCCGGCUGCCUCCAGCCCACGCGCCUCGCCGUCCACGUCAAUGGCGACGGCGGCUCCUGCUCCGCGUACUUCGCCUCCGGUUGCCGCGUCUACAAGCUCGAGAUAUCCAUGGGAGAGGAGAUACUGUCAAGAGGAAAAGAGAGCCUGUUGAUUCCUAUCAAUGCACAGGUCAUAAGCUCGUCGGUUGUGGACCGCUGCCCGCAUCGUUCGGAGAUUCAGAGUGUAGUUCUGGCUGAGGGUGAAGGUGAUAGCUGCUUGAUUUUGGGAACCGUCGACUCUUACGGUCACCUCAUUGUAUCCCGUUUGGACACUGUGGCUGAGGACAUCGACAGGGCAUCCUAUUCAGUACCACCUCAUGAUAGUGGUGUCGGAGAAGGAGGUUGGGCUGGGUUGUGUUUUAGUCCAACACACCAAUCCACGGUAGCUGUUGCUCGUGAAUUGUGUAAGAGCAUUGAUAUCUAUGAUCAAGAUAUUCAUAUUCGGAGUUUACGUACUUUAUGGUACCCAUCUUCAGUAAGGUUUCCUCAAUACUUUCCUCAAGGGAGUGAAAGUAGCUCGAUAUUGGCAAUUACUGAAGGUCCUCAGCUGAGCAUCUGGGACUUCAGAAUGCAUAACAAUGGUGGAUGUGUACAACGUGUGUCUGGUCCUAUUGGAGGCAUACUAUACUCUCUCUGUACCUCUCCUUCAGGACUGAUUGCUGUUGGUGGAACUGAUCGUGCUGUCACAAUCUAUGAUCCUCGCAGGUGGUCGGCCUUAUCAAGAUGGGUGGGCUGCUCGAAGUAUGAGCAAUGGAGUUCUCAGCUAGUGUAUUUGCCUUCAUACCCAGAUUACUGGUCUUUCGUUUUCGUCAGUGGACCAAUCCUUCAUGUACGUCCAAGGUGUUGAUUAUGAGAUUACUUGUGGACGCUGGAGAGAAAGUAAGCGCGCAUUCUCAUUUCGAGGUGAUUCCAACUGGCUGGGCUUUUCAAAGUGUGCAAACACAGAUGUGGUUGCUGGGUGGUGCGAGUCUGGAAGUAUCUUCGUUGCCGAUGUUAGGCAGGAUCUUCUCUCGGUAAUUGGGGUUUAAGGCAGCGGCUGCGAGAGUGCGCGAGCAUCCUUUGAUCACACAUCCAAGAACCAUUGUGUAUUCUCCCCCAUUCUUAUAGACCAACCAUGUUGAGCCCUAUGUAUACGUGGGUACUCUAAUUUCCAGGCACAACCUGUAUCAUGUAGCGGUUAUCCUUGGGGGCGGAAGUUUCUUGUUGGUUCUUUUUUUCGAAAUGGCAGUUAUCCUGCAUUCAUUAAAAAGAAAAGAGUUGCUCGGUUAAUUCGGGAAAACCGGGCGAAAACCAAAAGAGUUUCUUGUUGGUUCUUGUAUCAUCAGAGUUAUGCUGAUAAGCUUUGCUGUACUACAAUACAAAUGCUAAAUUUGAGCGUGCCUAUGGUCGCUUGCUUAUUUUGUUUCA